UAUGGAAAGGGCACAUCCUAAAAGGGUUUCCUUCUGUUGUUAGGAUAUGAAGUGCUAUUCAUUCCCUUACUUGGCUCUUUAAUAGAAGCCAAGUACCAGGAAGAAUGUUUGCAAAUGCCUCCACAAAAAUCAAGGAUGACUUUGCAAAUCAUUUGCACGAGAAAUCAUCUAGGUGAAAAAUGUUGUCCUCUUCAUAAUUACGUCACAUGUAAAGAAACAGACAGGGCUCCUGGGAGUUUCUGCAUACUUAAAUGACACCUGAAGCUACACAGAACUGUGUUGGGCCAAGGCUGAUAUUUUGGAAACUAUAUUGUGUGCUGUACUCAAAUAUUUAAGUUUUCUUAAACAGAAAAGCUAUCCUGAGGAAGAAAGAACGUGCCAAAGCCAGACCCUCCCCCCAGCUUGUGCCUGAGCAGGGAUGGACAAAGAAAAGAAAAUGUCAUUUCAGCUCUUCCCACCCCACAAAAAUGAGCAGUGUGUGGGGAAAAGACCCGAGGAAAAUCAAGUGAUAGUGGGUGACAAAAAAGGAUGCAGUGGAAGAGGGCAAAGAAUCAAAAAUAUUAAACAAGAAGUGGAAGAACAGAGAAAAGAAAGCUUGCUGGGGUUGCUGAGUUCAUAGGAAAGAGGUGCCCUCCAAGAGCCAAGGAUUUCACCUUAGUCUCUGCAGCUGGUUAAACUCGAGGACUUUUCUGCACACUACAUCAAGGGACUGCCUCCUUGCAAGCAUCAGCACCAAGGAGUGGCUUUAAAAUGAAGAAGAAACCAAAAAUCCCACAAUUUUUCAGUAUUGCGGGCACUGCAGAAUGCAGAAGGCUGAGUCCCAAGGCAUGCCAUGCUCUUCAUACCCUGGACAUUCUGCUCUGACAGCUGGGAAUAUGUUCUGAUCCAUGGUCCCACCAUGUUCCACUCAUCCAGAGACCCAUUGCUCCAGAUUCCAGAGAGCAGUGUUCACUUCACUGUUGCUAGAAAGCUCUUACUCACCUAGCUCUCCUGCUGGAGCUGUUCCAUCCCCACUUGAACUGCACAUGCCCUUGUACUCUGCCUGGCUCAGCACUUCUCUGGACACAAAGGGAGCCAUAGGAGCUGUAUUUUCCUUUUCCGUUCCAAGCUCCUGACUUUGGGGCAGCAGCUUUCUGCAUUAUUUAUGAUGUCUCAGUGCGAAGGCCAGUAAUAAUGGAGGCUUGGAUUCCAAGAAAACAUUUUUUUUUUCCCGAACCAAAACAUGCACAAUACUAAUACCUAGAAAGACAGCAUUUGAUACUACAGACAAUUAAUCUUUAUGGUAUCUGGUAUAUAUAAAUACCUUACUUCUUCUUCCUCUGCAGUCUUUGUCCUCCAUAGCAAUGCAAAGUAGUGCAAGAAAUCAGCUAAAUGUUGCAUACAUUCCUUAUUGUGGGUGGGGUUACACAUUUGUAAAGCCUCAAUGAACAGCCAUUGAAUUAUGUGUGAUUAUGAAUAUUUCAUACUCUUUUUUUUCCCCUAAAAUCUGUAGCUUCAUCGACCCCACUGUGGUCAAGGUUUUCUCAGAACAAGUGUGCUCAGCUGACUGAAAAGCUUUGAGGCAGUGCAUUUGUUACAUUUGCUUUUCUGCGCAUUGUCAAACAUGCACCAUUAUUUGCAUGUGUUUCAAACCUGUUCUGAACAAAGAACGGCUGACUUUGAAACAUAAUCACCCUUUUACUUUUGGUGAGCAACAGUAGAACAAUGGGCAGCAGGGAGAAACUGGAACACGGGAAGUUCCAUACUAAUACAAGGAACAACUUCUUCACUGUCAGAGUGACAGAGCCCUGGAACAGACAGCCCAGAGAGACUGUGGUGUCUCCUUGUCUAGAGAUAUUCAAAACCCACCUGGGUGACCUGCUGUAGGAAACCUGCUUUAGCAGGGGGUGGGGACUGGAUGAUCUCCAGAGGUCUCUUCCAACCCCUAUGGUUCUGUGAAUCUGUGAUUUUACAAGCCAGAAACCAAGACAAAAACAUUGACAUAAUGCGUAACUGGGAUGUUCACCUGGAGUUUCUGCAGUUUUUUUCUUUUUAAAGAAUAUUUCUUACUACAUGUUGUUUGCAUUUCAGCCCAAGCCCAGUUUUGGUACAGCUAAAAGAUCUCAACCCAUUUUUCAGAUCAGCCUCCCUGCUGCACACGCAGUCGUGCUCAGACAGCUAAUUGUGGUGGAGGAGAAAAGAACCAGAAGCAGAACUUUCUUAAGCUGCUAUAGGGAACCCUGGUCUGGGACCCUUUAAAAUUAAACAGCUCUCCACCGAUCACAGACAGCGCAAUGUUUUUCACCCAAAGGUCUCUAGGGCUAUGUCUACAGCACUAGAAAAAACAUGGCCUGGCAAGGAGCCUAAGCACCGAGCUGCUAAUUGCUGAUUAUGCUUAAUUGUAAGCAUGUGUCCUGGAAAAGCUUUGGCUCAUGUCAACCAGCGCUGUCCCAGACAGUACCCAGAUCAGGAGAAGGCAUAUGCUGGAGCCCAUUCCAGAGGUAUUACGAAUCAGGCAAAGGCCACAUCAGCCUCCCUCUCUUCCCUCUCCCUUGCCCAGCAUUCUCUCCUUUUGCCACCCUCACACUCUCCAGGGCAUGUCACGUAACAAAUGUUAGCUCUGUCCUAGAAGCAACCAACUGCUUUGCCUGAAACUUCUCAGUUUGAAACAGAUACGCACACAUGAACAUUAUGAGGAAUAUCCCCCACAGGAACCAAUCAUCUCACUAUUUGUAGUUUAUGAAAGCCAAGCCCUAUGUUUGCUAGAGAUGCCUGUAGCUUUACAGCAAAUUAGGUGGGGUGUUUUGUGUAUGGUGUUUUUUUAAGAUCUCUCCAUUUCAUUAUGUCGAAGCAGGAAGUACACUUCAUUUAAGUGCUCUCACUCUGGAGCUGUUUCAUGGGAAGAAACCUUCCUUCUUUUUCUCUGUUUAGGCUUAAGGUUUAUGAAGCCAAUGUAAACAGCCAAAAUGAGCCUAAGUGCCAGAGCUUAACUUAGGAGGUUUGAAAAGAACAGGGCUUGCCUUAAUAAAAUGAAACAAUUAGUUUGUAGA